rnacentral:rRNA from 1 species
UACGUAGGGUGCGAGCGUUGUCCGGAAUUAUUGGGCGUAAAGAGCUCGUAGGCGGUGUGUCGCGUCGGCCGUGAAAACCUGCAGCUUAACUGUGGGCUUGCGGUCGAUACGGGCAUCACUGGAGUUCGGCAGGGGAGACUGGAAUUCCUGGUGUAGCGGUGAAAUGCGCAGAUAUCAGGAGGAACACCGGUGGCGAAGGCGGCGUUCUGGACUGCAACUGACACUGAGGAACGAAAGCCAGGGGAGCAAACGGG